UGCUUACUGCUGUGUUCGCCAGCCUGACGACAAAGUUUGCGGCGCCGAUGAACGUGCACGGGGAGGAAUCUCUCGCCCUGUCUAAAAUUCAAGCCCUCCCACUUCGUUGAGGGACGGGUUGGACAGGUCGGAACCCACCCACUUUGCUCAAGAGGGUGCACAAACAGUUCAGUGCAGCGGCACGAGUGGUUUGCUG
rnacentral:other from 1 species